UACGUAGGAGACGAGCGUUGUCCGGAGUUACUGGGCGUAAAGGGUGCGCAGGUGGCGGCGCGCGUGGGGGGUGAAAUCGCCCGGCUUAACUGGGCGGGGGCCUUCCAGACGGCGUGGCUUGAGCAGCGGAGGGGGACGUGGAAUCCGGGUGGAGCGGUGAAAUGCGUAGAGAUCCGGAAGAACACCAGUGGCGAAGGCGGCCAACUGGUCCGGUACUGACGCUGAGGUGCGAAAGCGUGGGGAGCAAACAGG
rnacentral:rRNA from 1 species